rnacentral:rRNA from 1 species
AUUGAACGCUGGCGGCAUGCUUUACACAUGCAAGUCGGACGGCAGCACAGAGAAGCUUGCUUCUUGGGUGGCGAGUGGCGAACGGGUGAGUAACAUAUCGGAACGUACCGAGUAAUGGGGGAUAACUAAUCGAAAGAUUAGCUAAUACCGCAUAUUCUCUGAGGAGGAAAGCAGGGGACCUUCGGGCCUUGCGUUAUUUGAGCGGCCGAUAUCUGAUUAGCUAGUUGGUGGGGUAAAGGCCUACCAAGGCGACGAUCAGUAGCGGGUCUGAGAGGAUGAUCCGCCACACUGGGACUGAGACACGGCCCAGACUCCUACGGGAGGCAGCAGUGGGGAAUUUUGGACAAUGGGCGCAAGCCUGAUCCAGCCAUGCCGCGUGUCUGAAGAAGGCCUUCGGGUUGUAAAGGACUUUUGUCCAGGGAAGAAAAGGCUGUCGCUAAUACCGACAGCUGAUGACGGUACCUGAAGAAUAAGCACCGUAAUACA